rnacentral:rRNA from 1 species
UAGGGAAUCUUCCACAAUGGACGCAAGUCUGAUGGAGCAACGCCGCGUGAGUGAAGAAGGCUUUCGGGUCGUAAAACUCUGUUAUUGAAGAAGAACGUGUGUGACAGUAACUGGUCAUGCAGUGACGGUAUUCAAUCAGAAAGUCACGGCUAACUACGUGCCAGCAGCCGCGGUAAUACGUAGGUGGCAAGCGUUGCCCGGAUUUAUUGGGCGUAAAAGCGGGAUGUCAGGCCA